AUGGAAUGUGCCCUCUCAAAACCACCAACUGUCUCCUUGUUUUGUUUUCUCCCAGAAUUAUUUAGGUUUAAAGGAUUUGGGAGCUUGAGUAGCAUUCCACGGACGUUCACCUUGCGGCGUGUCUCUGUUGCCCCCAGCACUCCACAGGCCCCUGGAGGGGGGCUCCUGUCCUCAAAUGGCUUCAUGGCAACCACCAUUGAAGGCACGCAGGACGACUUGAAUACUGUUCCCAAAAGCCCGUCCCCAUACGCUCGGUCAUGCGACAUGUACAGCCACAUGGGGACUAUGCCACGGGGCAGCUCCAGGAAGUCGAAGGCUAAGGCCAAAGACAAAGGCACGCCCAAGGAGAAGGAUCAAGAUGCAGGGUCACAAAUUGGCCUGGCACCUUCUCCCCACAAAAACUCUCCUUUCGUAGCUAAGGAAGCAAAGCAGAAGCAAAAAUUGCCUCCAUCCAAAGCGGACCACAGUCAGGCCCACACCCAAUAUGUGAGGCCCACCACCAUGGUCAACUCCUCAAACUCUUUUCCAGAGCACAGCCAAGCUUCUGCUGAAGGACUCCCAAAGGAAACAGUGAGGAGAAAGGAGGACUUUCUUCAGGUGCCUGGGAAGUCCUCCCCCAAGAGAGCGCAGGACGACUUGAAUCCUGCACCCAAAAGCCCAUCGCCACAUGCCCGCUCAUGCGAUAUGUCCAGCCACGUGGGGACCAUUCCACGAAGCAGUUCUGGAAAGUUGAGGGGAAAGGCCAAAGGCAAAGGGGCCCCUCAGGAGGCUGAGCCAACCACCGCCCCAGAGCCCAGCUUGAUAGCUGUGGCACCUUCUCCCAGAAAAGAUACCCCUAUGAUAGCUGAGGACGCAGAGCAGAAAGCAAAAAUGCCCCCAUCUGAACCCAAACACAGCCAGGCCUGCUCCCAAACCAUGAGGCAGGCUGUCGCGAUCAACACCUCAGACUCUCUUCCUGAGCCCAGGCAGACUUCUGAGGGACCCAAAGAGAAGACGAAGAGGAACAAGCAGGACUCUCCCCAUAUGCCCAGGAAGCUCAGCUCUGAAACUGUGCGGGACGACUUGAAUACUGUGCCAAAAAGCCCGUCCCCAUAUGCCUACUCAGGCGAUAUGCACAGCCACAUAGGGACCUUGCCAAGAGCCAACUCUGGGUGCUCAAGGAGGCAGUCCAAAGAGGAAUCAGUGAGGUGUGAGCAGGAUUCUGUUCAGGUCCCUCGAAAAGCUGCCAAUACGGAAGCUCCCAAAGAACCUAUCCUGUCUGGAGGGCGAGCGCCUGGAGAGGAAGCCCUUCGAGAACACUUAGACAAGAGGUAA
rnacentral:lncRNA from 1 species